GAUGAACGCUGGCGGCGUGCUUAACACAUGCAAGUCGAACGAUUAAAGCCCCUUCGGGGGUGUAUAGAGUGGCGAACGGGUGAGUAACACGUGGGCAAUCUGCCCCUCACUUCGGGAUAACUCAGGGAAACUUGAGCUAAUACCGGAUACUCCGGGAAGGUCGCAUGGCCAACCCGGGAAAGCUCCGACGGUGAGGGAUGAGCCCGCGGCCCAUUAGCUUGUUGGUGAGGUAACGGCUCACCAAGGCGACGAUGGGUAGCCGAGCUGAGAGGCUGAUCGGCCACACUGGGACUGAGACACGGCCCAGACUCCUACGGGAGGCAG
rnacentral:rRNA from 1 species